rnacentral:rRNA from 1 species
ACGGCUCAGUAACACGUGGCUAAUCUGCCCUUAGGACGAGAACAACCCCGGGAAACUGGGGCUAACUCUCGAUAGGCGAAGAACUCUGGAAUGAGUCUUUACCUAAAUAGUGCAACGUUAUCCUCGUUGCAUCGCCUAAGGAUGAGGCCGCGACCGAUCAGGUUGUUGGCGAGGUAAUGGCUCACCAAGCCUUUUACCGGUGCGGGCCGUGAGAGCGGGAGCCCGGAGAUGGGCACUGAGACAAGGGCCCAGGCCCUACGGGGCGCAGCAGUCGCGAAAACUUUGCAAUAAGCGAAAGCUUGACAGGGCUAUCCCGAGUGCCAUCCGCUGAGGAAGGCUUUUACCCAGUCUAGAACGCUGGGGGAAUAAGGAGAGUGCAAGUCUGGUGUCAGCCGCCGCGGUAAUACCAGCUCUCCGAGUGGUGUGGAUGUUUAUUGGGCCUAAAGCAUCCGUAGCUGGCUAGGUCAGUCCCUUGUUAAAUCCACCGAAUUAAUCGUUGGAUUGCGGGGGAUACUGCUUGGCUAGGGGACGAGAGAGGCAGACGGUAUUUUCGGGGUAGGGGUGAAAUCCUAUAAUCCCGGGAAGACCACCAGUGGCGAAGGCUGUCUGCUAGAACGCGCCCGACGGUGAGGGAUGAAAGCUGGGGGAGCGAACCGGAUUAGAUACCCGGGUAGUCCCAGCUGUAAACGAUGCAGACUCGGUGAUGAAUAGGCUUCGUGCCUAUUCAGUGCCGCAGGGAAGCCGUUAAGUCUGCCGCCUGGGGAGUACGGUCGCAAGACUGAAACUUAAAGGAAUUGGCGGGGGAGCAC